rnacentral:rRNA from 1 species
UACAGAGGGUGCAAGCGUUGCUCGGAUUUACUGGGCGUAAAGCGUACGCAGACGGCAAGGUCGGUCGAAUGUGAAAGCCCAGGGCUCAACCCUGGAAAUGCAUCCGAAACCUCCUUGCUCGAGUAUGAGAGAGGAAAGCGGAAUUCCUGGUGUUGAGGUGAAAUUCGUAGAUAUCAGGAGGAACAUCGGCGGCGAAGGCGGCUUUCUGGCUCAUUACUGACGUUCAGGUACGAAAGCGUGGGUAGCAAACAGG